rnacentral:rRNA from 1 species
GACGAACGCUGGCGGCGUGCUUAACACAUGCAAGUCGAACGGAAAGGCCCUGCUUUUGUGGGGUGCUCGAGUGGCGAACGGGUGAGUAACACGUGAGUAACCUGUCCUUGACUUUGGGAUAACUUCAGGAAACUGGGGCUAUUCCGGGUAAGGAGCUCUUGCUGUUGGGUGGGGGGGGGAAGGUUUCGGCGGUUGGGGAUGGACUCGCGUCUUAUCGGCUUGUUGGUGGGGUAGUGGGUUACCAAGGCUUUGACGGGUAGCCGGCCUGCGAGGGUGACCGGCCACAUUGGGACUGGACUGCGGCCCAGACUCCUACGGGAGGCAGCAGUGGGGAAUAUUGCACAAUGGGCGGAAGCCUGAUGCAGCAACGCCGCGUGCGGGAUGACGGCCUUCGGGUUGUAAACCGCUUUCGCCUGUGACGAAGCGUGAGUGACGGUAAUGGGUAAAGAAGCACCGGCUAACUACGUG